rnacentral:tRNA from 2 species
AAGGAGUUAGUUAAAUCAAAAAUAACAUUAGAAUGUCAAUCUAAAAUUACUAAUGAAUUAGUACACCUUG